rnacentral:rRNA from 1 species
AUUGAACGCUGGCGGCAGGCCUAACACAUGCAAGUCGAGCGAGCGGCGGACGGGUGAGUAAUGUCUGGGAAACUGCCUGAUGGCGGGGGAUAACUACUGGAAACGGUAGCUAAUACCGCAUACCAUCAGAUUUGCCCAGAUGGGAUUAGCUAGUCGGUGGGGUAAUGGCUCACCUAGGCGACGCUCCCUAGCUGGUCUGAGAGGAUGACCAGCAACACUGGAACGGGGACACGGGCAAGACUCCGACGGGAGGCAGCAGUGGGGAAUAUUGCACAAUGGGCGCAAGCCUGAUGCAGCCAUGCCGCGUGUAUGAAGAAGGCCUGCGGGUUGUAAAGUACUUUCAGCGAGGAGGCGUUACUCGCAGAAGAAGCACCGGCUAACUCCGUGCCAGCAGCCGCGGUAAUAC